UACGGAGGGUGCAAGCGUUGUCCGGAUUUAUUGGGUUUAAAGGGUGCGUAGGCGGUCCGGUAAGUCAGUGGUGAAAUCCUCCAGCUCAACUGGAGAACUGCCUCGGAUACUGAUGGUCUCGAGGAGGAUAGGGGCACACGGAACUGUGGGUGGAGCGGUGAAAUGCGUUGAUAUCCAUAGGAACACCGGUGGCGAAAGCGGUGUGCUGGAUCCGUUCUGACGCUGAGGCGCGAAAGCCAGGGGAGCAAACGGG
rnacentral:rRNA from 1 species